rnacentral:rRNA from 1 species
CAGCCGCCGCGGUAAUACGGAGGGGGCUAGCGUUGUUCGGAAUUACUGGGCGUAAAGCGCACGUAGGCGGCUUGGUAAGUUAGAGGUGAAAGCCCAGGGCUCAACCCUGGAAUUGCCUUUAAGACUGCCGAGCUAGCAGGUGAGAGAGGUAAGUGGAAUUCCGAGUGUAGAGGUGAAAUUCGUAGAUAUUCGGAAGAACACCAGUGGCGAAGGCGGCUUACUGGCUCAUACUGGACGCUGAGGUGCGAAAGCGUGGGGAGCAAACAGGAUUAGAUACCCCGGUAGUCCCUGUCUCUUAUAC